CCUACGGGUGGCAGCAGUAGGGAAUAUUGCUCAAUGGGCGAAAGCCUGAAGCAGCAACGCCGCGUGGAGGAUGAAGGUUUUCGGAUUGUAAACUCCUUUCGUUAGAGAAGAUAAUGACGGUAUCUAACGAAUAAGCACCGGCGAACUCCGUGCCAGCAGCCGCGGUAAGACGGAGGGUGCAAGCGUUACUCGGAAUGACUGGGCGUAAAGAGCGCGUAGGCGGGAUAGCAAGUCAGAGGUGAAAGCCUAUGGCUUAACCAAAGAACUGCAGUUGACACUGGUAUUCUAGAGUGUGGGAGAGGUAGGGGGAAUUCUUGGUGUAGGGGUGAAAUCCGUAGAGAUCGAGAGGAAUACUCAUUGCGAAGGCGACCUGCUGGAACAUAACUGACGCUGAGGCGCGAAAGCGUGGGUAGCAAACAGGAUUAGAUACCCGAGUAGUC
rnacentral:rRNA from 1 species